GAAAAACUGCAAAUUAAGAUGUUGAUUAUACACCACCGGCUGUCUUAAUCAUCGUGAUCAAAAUCCAAAUAUUAAGGAAAGAGGCCUGGGAGGGAUACGUUUGGGCUUUUGUCAAACCCUCCACCAAACUCUGAAGCCCAGCCUGUGCUUCUCCAAAUCUUUUUCCGGGUAAGAGCCCCCAUCCGCCUGCCUGGGCCUCAAAGUGUUUCUCAAGAGUGGUUAGCGAGCCCCCCAUCCCCCAAACCCAGACACACCCCGAGUCCCAUGAACAUUUCUGGGCUGUCAAAACACACGGCUGCGUGUUCAAUCCCAAUAACUAGCGGAUGAUUAAUGAGCAGCUUGAUAAUUUAAUAUCGCAUGUGAUUAAAUUAUAAGGUGUGGGGGAGGGGAGCUCUGCACUAUCUCGACCGCCCGGGCGGAAGCCGACCAGCCAGCGGGUCUGGGCUGCGCAGAGAGACGCGCUCAUCCUUUGCACAGUGCCUGGCUAGGCUGGGCAACCGCGAGUCUGCGCCUUCCCAAGACAGGGCCCAGGUGGUGGUCAAAUUGGGUCACCCGAAGCCGCGUAUAUUCCGCAGUCCACGGACCCCCAACCCUAACUAGUGGCACGCGGGAUUCACUCCAUCCUGGGUUCCGGUACGUUGUGGGGAAAACCCGGGCGUAUUAAGCAGCACAAGAGCCCGAAGCUACGCAGAAGAGGAAAGAUUACACUAGAUGCAGGUUUCCUAGGGGCAGAGGCGUGUAACUGAUGUACUGGAGGGACUCCUGGUCAUCGCUCUUUCCUCCCGAAUGGGGAGUAGAGAACGAGUAGAGACUCGGGCGUGGCCACUCCUUCCCUCGGGAAAAAGUGUGAACGCAGAACUGCUCCAGGUAAAAGUACCGUUGCCACGUAGUUUCACCUCGAACGAGGUAGGUGGCUGUGUACAGCGCCGGCUGGCUGUUCGCUGGGCACCGAAGCCUCAGAGCGGCACCUGAGAGGCCACUGCGGAACACAGAAAAGAUUUUAGGGCUUAACCUCCAGUCGAAUAAGGCCACCACUCCUACCGCAUUGCCUGGGCCAAAAGAAUCCAAAGAGACCACUCCCUUCAAGGAUUCGCAUAUUCGGAGACAGCUGCGGAUUUGGGGAGCUGCGGCCCCGGCGUGCGCCGAGUUCAAGGGUCUCUGGUUCUUAGCGCAGAGUGUCCGGCGGCCACAGAACCGCGCGGGUCCAGUUGACGCGCCCUGCUUACUGGUGCACCCUCAAAGUCUGCCAAGGCGUGGCGCCCAUUUCUGAUCUCACAACUGGCGCCAAGCCGAGAGCCGGGGCUCCAAGGGUCGGACCAAGGGGGCAGAAGGAGGAGGGAGCAGCAUUCCGGUAUUAACGCCAAGUCGAGAAAGAAAGAGAAGAAGGCGAGCAGCGAGCUGCAGUUUGCUGCACACCCGCCACCAGAGACAUUUCAGACAGAAUUAAGCCUUUUGAAGUCGACCACUUACUGUGGUUUAAUUGACACUGUUCAACUGAGUGACAAUUGUUCAGUUGGAUGGGGGCGAUACACUCCCCACUUAUUUUUUAAUACGCAAAAUAAGAUUUGACGCCUUGGGUCUUGGUUCUUUUGUGACAAGGGGCGGGGUGUAUUUAUGACCGCCAAAUCUGUCGGUUGAAAUACCCCCGCCCUAUUCCCCUCCCUCCCGUUUCCGUUAAGUCUUUAUUAUAUUUGUGUUAAUGCACUUCAGGAAGGCCUUGUAAGAAACUCCCUCUCCUAAGCAAAUUGAAGGCCAGAUGCUGGAGCCUCACCGGUGUACCCCUAUUUGGGGGCAUGAGCUGGAAGCACCCUUUUACCGGGUCUAGAGAACAGAAGCUUGUUAGUCUAGGCGUUUGGGGACAAGGUGGGAGCCUUUCCCCUUCUUUGGCACUGGGAGGAGCCAGGGAGCAGGGAGUUUUGUGAGCCCAGAGGGAAGGUCCGGGAGCAACCAAGUUGCCCUUUCUUGGAUAGGCACAGGCUCUGGGGCAAGGUCGAAGGUUGCUGGGCAGACGUAGGCGCUGUCCAACAGGGAGGGGGGAUGAGGAGCAGAAGGUUUCAGCAUGCCUUCAUUCACCACUAGUCCUUGUCCUGCGGACCCUCGCUGCUACUCUCUGUAGCGUUUCUCCAGGACACUCUUCUACCCCGCAGAUAAGAGCCUAUCCACAAGGCCCAAAUGUAUCCAAGCCAAAAUCUGGGCCACGGGCUUUGGCGCUUCACUCUAGAUCUGGGGAGAACGCCACGAAGCCCAAUUUCCCACCCCACCAAAUCUGCUCCUGCUGUCCAAAUCCAAGGCAGCCUGUGACUGACUCUCCAACAGAGCCCAGGGAGAGCCCCGGAGUCUCGGAGUCUGCUCCAUUCCGUCGGUAAACCAAGGCUGUGGUGCCCUCACCUAACGCCACACUCCGCCCACCUGCGUGCCUCCAGCGGCGCCCGCACGCAGUGAGGGCGCUCCCUUUUAACUCUCCAUCUCCUCCUGGUGGAGGGUGCAACCGAAGAACCCUUUCUUGCCGAGUACUAAACCCAAACAGGCGGCUUUUCCAAGAUGCCAAGAACAGAAUGGUUAAAUUCGAAGUUUGGGAAAACUGCUCUGCUCCAAAGUUCACUGCCCUUGCGAACCAAACCGCAGAGCUACUGAUUGAAUGGCCGCGCCGCCAACGUAGCGACUCUGACUUGGGUCCGGAGCGGGCGGGUUGGCGGAGGCUGCAAUGCCAGCGGGCAGCUCCCCUGAGGACACCAGAGGAGACUACAGGGAAUGCGUGGGUGGGCCUUUCCCUCCGCGCACGCCUUCUUCGCAGCCGGAACCCCAGCAACGCGUUAAAUUAGGGUCGAACUCCAGCACUGGGUCGGGGAAUCUUGUGUCCGCCCCGUCCAGGCUUGGGAGUCCUAAGUUAGGGCAGUGAGAGCCAGUUGGUGCGGCUCCCGUCUGCUCCGGCCACCAGCAUCGGCGGUGGCUGGCAGGUCAGCCCUUUUGCCCACUGUUCUGCCCCCACCCUCGAUCACGUUGCCAUGCGGGUCCCCAUGCUACCCUCCUUCGCCCGCGCUCCCUCCAAGUUGCCGAGUUUACCAGCGCGUUUUGUUCCGGUUUCGGAUUCCUGGCCGAGGGGCAGUAACCGCUCUCUUCUCGGACGGACGCUAAUCAAGUAAUUUCCCCAUCCCAGCCCCAUCAAAUUGCUCUUUAGCUGUUGAACCGCGGAGUUUUGCUCGCCUUUUCACAUGCUAAUCACGCCCAUUCAGCGGCUCUCGGUGGGGCUGUUUGUCGCGGGAUAAAUCUCCUUGUUUGCCCGCUGCAUGAUUAAUUGAUAUUGUUGUCUGGCUUUUGUGGGGACCGCGAGGAGCUGAAAGGCGGCGCGUCGUGACUGCGCUGGGGGCCGCUGGCGACCUCAUCGGGCUGCUGAGGUCCCGGCGAGGUCGGGCCGGGACUGAUGACAUUAUGCGCCCGAUUUGGUUUCCCUUAUUAGAAAGAUGAUGAAAGACUUGGAAACCCCAGUCUUAGAACUCACCACCCGGUCGUAGAAACCGCAUAGCGUUAAGCCACACAUUCAGACAAAGCACGGGCGUUUGCUCAAUUUAGGGAAACGAGUGGGUGUCGCUUCUCCACGCAGGAGACAAUUAAAUCUUAUUUCGGCCCACCCGGGAUUUCAGUAGAAUUGAACAUGAAGCUGCAGAAUAGUUUGUUUUUUCAAACAAAGAACAGCAACAAAAAUUUUUUAUUGGUUCCAGGUUGUAAAGGCUGGUUAAAUUUACUCUUAAAAGGAAAGUAAAUGGAAGUCAGUGUUCCGAUAGAGACCUUGUAGGCAACGGUAGAGGAAAGCCAUGCAAAGGUGCUUCCAGGUUGGACCCCGAGCUUUUCGGUUUGCCAAAACGCGCAGCAUUAAUUGGUAUAGCCAGCCACCGUGAAGACCCGCGCUAACGCAAACUGGCGCUAUUACUAAGACGCGAGUCCGCCUGUAAGCCCAUGUUUAUUUGACUUCACUGGUCCCUUUUCUUUGCUGCAUUUUCCCGCAGUCCUCAGGUGUUCAGUCAAACCAACAAAUUCCUCCUUCCCUUGCACCCCUCCCGCCUUCUCCCCGGUACCCUGGGGUUUUAUCCUCCACGGUCGUCCCAGAAAACUAGGAGAUUCAAUUAAACAAUUCCAGUUACGCGGUGCUCCUACUGCCUGCUUAUUGCAAAUAUUUCCUUUUUCGAGUUCUUAAAAAAAAAAAGCAAAGAGAAGAAAAGAAACUGUCGCCUUCGCUUUCACUGAGCGCGGGGUAAUUGAUAGGCGCCAUCAGAGGUCAGAAUUUGCAUAAGAAUUAAGAGCAGUAAAUUAAUUUAAUAUUCCGUGCACAUCUCCAAUUAUUCCUGGAGACCUUUGUCUCCACGGCUGCCAGAGAGGGGAUUCAGCUGCUCUUCAACCAAACAACAUCUGUGCGGUUAAUAAUUUGAUAAACAGCUCAUACAAAUAGUUUCUGAAUUAUCUGGCAGCCCAAUGACUAUUCAGUUUGGAAACGUUUUGGCAGGGUCUCCCGGAGUCCUCUGAGGGCUGUAGGCACCCGCCCUAACAAAUGUCUUCUUAUCUUUUAAACAUCAACAGACGACAAUGUGUAAAAUAAGCCAUUAUCAUUAAGUAAUAACCCUAACCCUUAAAUAAAAAAAUCCACUGGGGUCAUCAAGGUGGUGCAUGUCCUCUGUUAGAGACUCUGAGAUGCAUAAACAGGCUGGGCAGUAGAGCUGAAUGAAGAACAACCUGCUAGGAAGGAAAGACCUGGGUGUUGUGGGGAGGGCUGUUUUAUGAUUUUUUUUAACUCUUGAAAUUGAGUGACUGGACUUGUGCUUGGAAAAAUCUGCAAGAAAGGGCUCUGGGGGAGCUACUGGAAGGGAGCCAAGGUAGUGGGCUAGAGGGAGACCAACUUUUCACUGUAUUGAUUCUUGUACCUUUCACUUUUCUCCCCGUAUGCAGGUAUUAUUUAUUCCAAAAAUAAAUAUGUAAAAAUAAGUUGAAUCAUCAUAAAACAGGCGUAAGUUAUUUUGGGUGGGAGUAGUCCUUAAUUGACUUGUCCUCUUUGACAGGGCUACCUUUCUUCCUACCUUCACCCCAAGAUGAUCCACCCUCAUCCUGAAAGCAGCUUCCCACAAAGCAUAAAUAUGUGGGAAGACAUAUGGAGAGGGCACACAUUUUCCUACACUUCAGCCAUAAUAUUGUGUUGUCCCAAAUAGGGAAGGAGCACUUGUAGAAUGAUGCUGUCCUGUGUCCAAACAGGCCCAAAUUUAGAUACUUCCGCCUUGCUAUCCUUCUCUAUUUGAAGAUUUUGUGACUGCGAUUAUGGUCUUUUAUAUUUCUGACACCCGUAGCAGAGCCUGUUCCUAAUAGAAAGUCUAGAAAGGAACCAUUUGAUUUUGAAUGAGUUUCAGACUGCUCAAAUUCUUGCAUCCUGCACAUUGCAGCUCUGUGGACUACAAAUCUGUGUUUACCCUGGAAUUGUUCUGCAGCAACUUCAAUAUAACAGAAUGUUGGAAGAGGGUCUUUAUCUCUCUGUCUAUGCAUUCCCACGUGUUUGAUGUACACACCUCAUGCAUUCAAUAUUCUACUUUCUAUUUCCUAUACUGCCAACAAUCUAAGUACUUGAAGCCACUGAAAACUACCCAGAAGUUCUGAGUAGGGUCGAAGCAGUAAUAUGAUAGAGUUUUGUCCUUGUACUCUAAUGAGCUCUGGUAGCAUCGAGCUUUAAAGAUAGGCAAACCCUUCAGUCUAUAGGUCUAAAUAUACAACUUUACAAUGAAUACGAGCUUGCCUGGACUCAAUUGAAGAAUUACUUUUUCAGAAAACAACUCAUUGUGUGAUACAAAUAGGACAAUAGCAUUUCUACUAGGCAUAUUCAUUUCUAUAUUUAACAUUUUCUUCUUGCAUUUCAUUAGAUUUUUCCCCGUAGAACUAUAGACACCGCCAGGCCUUGUAGGCUUUUAUAUGCAUACAAAUCAUCUCUGUUAUUUAUGAUGGGGGGUCCGUCUGCAUCCUUUUAUUAAUUUCUGACUUUGAUUCAGACUUCUCUAGUCAGCAGAGUGAUUUGAAAACAUAUCUUUUCUUAAAUGAACAUUAUCAAUUCUUUUGGGAGUCAUUCUAAUUUUAAACACCAACAUAUUCAGUUUCUUAAUCUGCAGCUCUGGUGUUACUCAUUUUUAUGCACACAACCUAUCCCCUUUGGCGGUAGUUCCUUUAUGCUCCAUAUUUAUCUUCUUUACAUUUGUUUGACUAUUUUUCAAAGCAGUAUAUGGGCAGAAAAUGGCUAUUAAACAAGAAGGCAGGGAACUCUGAUUACAUUUUUGACUGUGUAAGUAAAAUCACUGAACAUGAAAAUUUUGAGAUUUUUUUUCUACUAAUGAGCCCUCUCCAGAAAAGCCGUCUGGAUACCAUUAAAGUUGAUGAGUUUAGAAGGAUUAUCCUGAUAAAUGUUUGGCUUUUUGGUGAUUAGACACAUAUUUUCAAAACAGUCUACUGAGCUAAGGUCUACAUUUGGAAGGAAUCUUCUGGUUAUACUCAUUUAUUGACUAUACUCAUUUAUGAAUAUAAAUAAUUUACCAGACAUUGUUGGAUUAAAAAAUCCAAAGUACUGUCUUUGCAUAUAUGGUUCAAAUCAGAGGAAACUCCUACUCAUGUUCACAUGCAAUAAAAACAUUGGGAAUAUAAUAAUAGGUGGUAUUCAAUAAUGAUACAAGCCAUGGUGAUUUCCAACAUAUCUAUAAAAGAUGCAUAACCUUUUUUUGGGGGGGGAAAGUUAAAGAAGGGCCAUAGGACAGAAUAAUGAUCUAAAGACUCAGUGUAAUCUCUAUUAGGGUAAAAUUUCUCUCCCCUUCCCCUCCCUGGUGCUGGGGAUUAAAGCCAGGGCCCUGGGUCGUGUGCAUAAGUGCUCUACCAUGAGCUACAUCCCCAGGCCCCCCAUUUUUUAAAUUUGAGAGAUAUGAACAGUGCAGAGCUAUUAAACAAAUUCUUCCAAUUUAUUUACUCCCACUGUCUUUAAAAAAUACAGUAUAUGCGUGUGUGUGUGUGUGUAUCCAGUUUAAAUCCAACUCUAUAAAAUAUUGAAUUAGAAAAAUAGGUUAGCAAGUAAAAGUUUUGAAUAGGGUUCACUUAGAUAAACCUGUUUGCUCUCAUUUUCCUUUGUUUUAAUAUUUAAAUGAACUGUGCUUAGUCUUCUAGCAUUCCUCACCCCAGAUACUGGGUUCAAAAAGGAGCAGCUGUGUUGAUUUGUAGAAGAUAAUUGGAAGCUACAGAAACAAGACCAGUUUCUUCAGAUAUGACUGUAAGAUGUCUCUUUACAACAUGGAUGUCAGUGAGCCUCCUGAUUCUUUCCUUUCCCACUCUUGGCCAGGAUUACAAUCAGUCAAGCUGAACUUCAUAUAACUUCAGGGGAACCCUACACACUAUUGUCACUAUAGAUUGUAUGUUUUGUAAGACACUCUUCUGAACAAAGCAGUACAGAUGUCAUUUUAAAAUCUGUAUGGAGGGACAACAUGGGCCAGCAAAGAAACUGGCUAGCUCUAUUUUUUUAAAAAAAAAAAGGGACACAGGUAAUAGUGCAGGGUCACCCCUUCCUCCACCAAUGCAUCUCCCCCGCCCUGCCCCCUUGUACCAGGGAUUGAACUCAGGGGCACAUCCUCAGACCUUUUUUUGUGUUUUUAUUUAGAGAUAGGGUCUCUUUGAGUUGCUAAGUGCCUUGCUAAAUUACUCAGACUGGCUUUGAAUUCGCAAUCCUUCUGCCUCAGCCUCCAGAGCCUCUGGGAUUAGAGGCAUGGCCACCAUGCCCAGCACCAAUGCAUCUUAAUUAAGCUUCUCCAGGGACCCUCUCCACAAUUGUUCUUGUUAACAAAAUAUCAGCAAAGAUCUCUGAAAAAAGGGCUGGAUGUGGUUGGACAUCCUAUUUCCUGUUGCUGGGCUCUGUCUUGCAAAACCUAAAUUUAAUCACUGAUUUGAUGAAUGUUACUCUGCUUUUGUGGUGUAUCCUGUAAAACCCCUGACUAUUCUAAGAAAUGGGGCAAAAAGCACUUUCUGAGAACUCAAAGGAAAAAAAAACUACUUUUAUGUAGACUUCUGCAAAAAUGUGAAACAUCAAGUCUCCUCCCUGCGCCUAUUGGGUAUAAAGUUCAAAGAAUUUCUAGAUUCUUGGUCCAGAGGAGAAUUUCAGGCAUUAGCUGCUUUCUGGACCAGCCAGCUGCAGCUAAUAAACCUGCUUCCUGAAAAUUCUGUCCUACUUCAAUAGGGACUCUGUGCCUCCUAUGCUAUUUGCUUUGGCCAGAAAGUUCAAUCCAAUAGACUCAACAACAUGCAUUUGAGACCUACUGUCUGAUUGGAAUCAAAGUGAAAAUAGAAGGUAAAAAUCGGUGGUGGGCAGAAAAACUGCAGGCAUUUGGGUAGUCACCUAAUGUCCCAGUGUCGCACACUUCUGUCUACCACUUCUCAUCAAUUAUUAUUAUUAUUAUUUUUUUUAAAGAGAGAGUGAGAGAGGGGGACAGAGAGAGAGAGAGAAAGAGAAUUUUAACAUUUAUUUAUUUUUUUCUUAGUUCUCGGCGGACACAACAUCUUUGUUGUUUUCUGGGGAUGAUGCUAACCCAAGUCAUGUAUUGAGGAUGGCAAAACUUCCCAAAAUGGCCUGGGCUGUCAAGAAAACUUCCUAGAGCAGAGCCUGCCCUCCCACUCUGGACUGUAAUAUGGAGACAAAAUAAGCUGGAGCAGCAAAGAUGCACUGGAAGAUUAGAGAUCCCUAAUACUGAAGAAAGUGAACUGAGGAGGGAUCUCUGUGGAUGAGUCAUCUCUCUUCACUUCAGCUAGACCAGUAAUACAGGAGAACCCUAAAGGAAGAUUGGUGGACAACCAGGAUGAAUAGAAGAGACAAAGACUGACAAGACUUCCUCAAUUGCUCCUACUGAUUAGUGGGGGCCAUUUCUAUAACUCCUUGAAUCUAUUCUCCCUGCAACUCCAACCCCGAUUUUUAUUAAAUGGCUAAAUUGCCCUUUUAGAUCAAAACUUUCUUCACUAUAUCAACCAAAGAUGGCUGACUUCAGCCUAUGUCAUUGCUAAGGAUAUUGAAUGUAUCAGAGAUGAUGGUUUUGUCCUAUUCAUUAUCCCAACUAGUAACUCUUUGUAUAUCAGUGGCUGGCAUGCAGAAAUGCUUUUUUUCUGGGUCCUUUCUUACUUUUUUUUUUGGCAGUACUGGGAAUUGAACCCAGGGCCUCAUGCAUGCUUGGUAGGCACUCUACCAUUGAGCUAUACCCCUACUCUCCUAGGUUCUUGGAAAUUUGUAAUUGAUGUUCUGUUCUAGAGGAGGCAGAAUAGAAUAUGGGCUGUGCCAUAGGUCACACCUGUGUUUAGAUUCUGCUUGUGUCACUAGCCAUGUGACCUUGAGAACACUGGAAAACUCUAUUAGAUUUGUGAAAACUUUUCCUCAUUUGUAAAAUGAGAAUAGCAAUAUCUAAGUCACACAGAUAUUGUGAGAAACCAAUAAAUAAAUGUAUGCUAAGUUUCUAGAAUGGUCUCUAGCACAAAGUUGUAUUUAAUAAGUAAAUGUAUGUAAAAUUUCUAGAAAAUUCCCUGAAGCAAAAUUGUACUUAAUAAAUGACUUUUAAAACAA